UAAAGCCCCGCCCCCAGCUCACAGUUUUACUUCCUCUUCCUCUCCACUGUGGCCGUGUCUUCUGUUCCGCGUCUCCCAAACAAAUCAAUGCACUUCUUCAAAUCUGCAUUACAAGAAUUGAUGGCUCUGCUAGUUCAGAACUCCGCUGGGAUUCCGCCAUUAUUAGCCCCGGGUCGCUAUGUACUUACCAUUGAGGUCAAGUACUCCUUACUCUGCUGAAAAGGUUGAGGUUUUUUAAUGGACCAGAAUCUUCACCUGGAUGUAUUGAUGGCGAACUCGACAAUGGAUGAUGGACUAAGAAAUGAAUCUAUUUUGACUCAACUAACUCUCUCGCUUGUUCUUACUGCUAUUUUUGUCUUUUUUUGUACAACCACUUAAUAUAUUUACUAAAACUGAAA